AAAGAGUAAAACAUAAUGGUUAUGUAUACCACUAUACCCAUACUGAAGCACAGGAAGUUGAACUAAUGGUCCGUGAAAAUUAAUUACAAUGAUGUAACACAGAGAGAAAAGUAUCACGUAAAAAUAAAUAAAAACAAUCCGAGUUUUUCGACAGACAUGAACAAAUGCGUUUUUAAACAAGUGCGAGUUUGGUAGGUAUUUAUAUCGAUUUUACUUUGAGCACAUAUUAUGUAUGAUUUUAACAUAAUAAUCUAAUUAUGUAAUCAAAUUAAUUAGAGAAUUCUUCGAAAC